rnacentral:sRNA from 1 species
GAGGGAGCCUCCAUCUCCUCUGCUGCCAAAUGGAAAUCACAGUAGUGUCUCCCGCAGGGGCUGGCGUGAGGUUAAAGGAGGUAGCAGAUAUGAAAAUGAUAUAUAAAUUGUAAAUUGCCCACAGACAUUAGUGUGUGUUGCCUGGUAACCACCCAGCAUUUGUGGACUGCAUUUGCUUGGGAUAGCAAUAGUUAUAUUGGCAUUUUAAUUUAAUAGCAUUGUUAUGUUCCCAUCAUAAAAAUAAUAUACACUAUGUGUUUGCCCACCCUCAUCAAAUUAUAUACAUUAAGUAUGUGCAGUUUUUUGUAUAUGGAUUGUACCUCAAUACGGCUAUUAAAAAAAUGAUGUAACUUCAUUAUAGAAAAUCUAGAAAAUAUGGACAAGUUGAAAGAGGAAGAAAUAUUAUUUCGUUCCAGCUACCCUAAAGCUACCUCCGUUCACAUUUUGGAGAAUUCUCUUCCAGCUUUUUUCCCCACUGCCAAGAUUCUUUGCUUAUUUCACAUGGCUAUGAUCACUGAUGUAGAUCAUUACAAGCAUUUUAUACCCAAUUUUAUAUCCCACUCCUUCACCCUCAGGGGGUUUUAAUAUGAAAUAGCAAGAACCAGCGCCCCAUCGUGGACCCUAGCACAGCUGGGCUGUGGUUCUGGCUUCCGCCCAGACGUGACUGGGCAUCCCUGGGCCAGGGCAGGCUGCCCCACGGAGGGACAAUGUCAGGACAGCUGGGAUCUGACCCUGUUCUGACUCCAUGCCCGGUGGGUGUUUCCGUGUUCCCACAGAGCUGCUUUUCUUGUCUUGUCUUUUUAAGUUUAAUGACAUGUGCAUCUGUCUUGAUGGAUGGAUGGAUACGUCCAGCCCGUCAUCCCACUUCUAACCACCCUCUCUCACUCUUUUCUUUUGCCUCAAAGCUGGCAUUGACUCAUGGCUCAGAAGGCCAGUGCAGGCCAGGAACUGUCCUAAAAGGCCCGGACUAGAAAAAGAAAAGGCAUUUCUUGGAUAGUUAUCUCUGGUGUGGCUACUGCGUACAGGCACCAUUUGAAGCUGUGAAUUAAGCCUGAGACUCCUGCCCUCGUGGAGUUUACGUUCUGGCCAAGAAGACAGCCAACAGAUGAUAAAAACCUUUAGAGAAAGAAAAACAUCAGAUUAGGUUGGGGCAGGGAUGGUCAGGGUGUCCUGGGUGAGGGCGCUGGGGUGCAGACAGCAAUUUCAGCAAGUCGGUCCAAGUUGUGCUCAUGGGGAAGGCAGCAGUCUGGCGGAAUUGGAAGAAUAGGAAGGAGCUGUGCUGGUGCCCAGGGAAAGCCACUGCAGGCUGAGAGAGCAGGUCUUGGGACAGAAGGUGGCCAGGACUUUUGGGAAAGGGCAAGGAGCCUGGUGUUUGCAGGGGAAUAAGCAGGUGGAGAGCAGUAGAUGAGGCUGGGCAAGGGGAGGAGGUACCUUUUGCUGAGUUAAAAACACAAGACCCCCUGCAUACAACAGUAAACGUUUUCAUCAUCUUGCAUCUGCGAUUCUGUGGUCUGGGCUUGGCUGGGCUUGCCCUGCUCUGUGGGUCAGCGGGGCCCUGGUGGAGGCUGGGCUUGGCUGGGGGUGGGGGAGUUCUUCUGCACCCACUCUUCCUCCUCUCCCUCAGGGACCGGUGGGCCAGCCUGCGCAGGUCCUGCUCCUGGCACCGCCAGAGGCGCGGAUGGCAACCCCCAGUAUGCAAGCCCCUUUGCAUCUCUGCUUGCAGCUUGUUGAAUUGCCGUUCUGCAGGCCAAAGCAAAACACAGGGACAAGCCCAGAAUCAAGGUGGGGGGCAGAGAACAGGUUACCUGGCCCACGGUGGGAGCGGGUGGAGGUUUGGCUCUGGAUGCGGCCCACCUGGGCCGCGGCGGGUGGGGGCUGAUUUUAGAACAUUCUGUGCUUUUCUCUGAGUAUAUACAAUGGGAGCCGCUGGAGGGUUUUGAGCAGGGAAGUGCCAGGAUCAGUCCUGGGUGUUACCAGCCUCUCUCCUGCCAGUCUGUUGAGGCUACGUCAUAGCCAGGGAGAAAGAGCUGUGGCAGUCAUCCAGUGAGAGGUGGGAGAGUGGCUGGCAUCCCGAUACGCUGUGAAGGCUGAGCAGGCAGGAUUGGAUGUGGGGUGUGUGUGUGUGUGUGUGGUGUGUGUGUGUGUGUGAGAGAGAGAGAGAAAACGAGCAACUCCAAGGCUUGGGCCUGAGCAAGUGAACGAUAGAGCUGUCAUCACCUGAGACUGGGGAAGCUGCAGAGAAUGAAGUUGAGGAGGGAUUGGAAUUCAGUUAUGGCAACCAGUGAAGGGUUUUGAAUAGAGGGACACAGGGAUGCACUGGCUCAGGAGUUCGGCCAUCACAUUGCCGCCAGAGGGAGAACAGAGGCUGGGACAGGGAACCCUGUGGAGCGUCCUUUCUGUGGCUACAGGGAGCAAUGGUCAGAUCUGUGGCUUGUUUGAAAGUAGAUCCAUUUUGCUAAAGGUGGUAUCAGAGAUUUUGGAGCCUACAGAAUCCAGGCCAGGAGAGCAAAGAACGACAGAGGUCCCAUUCACAGCAGCGGGCCAUCCCGGGCUCCUACUAGCUGUUGCUGCUUGGGCCUAUGGGGAUGGUAUUCUAGAACUUUCCAUCUUCCAAGACAUACUGGAAAUGUGGGUUUUUAUAGGAAAUCUUCUACUUUUCAAAUAUUAAGAAUGACUUCAAAUUAAAAGUAAUAAUCAUUUUGGGGCUGCAGUAAAACUUGUUGGUGGAGCAGGCCUCAGGCUUCAGGCUGGUGAGCUGUCCUCCAGCGGGGGUUCCUCUUCCAGGCCAGGGCCCCGUCCUCCCCUGCUCUCCCACUCCCAGGGCUGGCCACCCAGAAUGUGCAGGCCACUCGUCUCUGUGACUCGUAGAACCUGAGAAUGUUGGUGACGGAAGGGGUGUUCCCCUAGUUCCCACAUGCAAAAAGUGGGGCCUGGAGAUGGGGCUGUCUUUUUUUUCCAAACACUUGCCCAUCCAAGAAGGCCAGCCCUGGGCAUUGAAGACUCCAGGUAUGGGGGUGACUCCAUAAGGAAAGGUUCCUGAGUACCUGAAGAAAUGUGGUUGGGAUGAAGUGCAGGGAGGGUCAGGGCAGGCAGGGCUGAGCUCUGCUUCUGCAAGCAGAGAUUAGAGAGCGAUCCCAGAGGCCUGCCUGGAGGUGGGGCCACAGAGCAGGAGUCUGAAGGAGAGGGGGUAAUUCACCUCUAUCCUACUGUGUGGGAAGCCCUGAGUAGGCCCCUAGCAGAGGGUUGCCUUGCUUAUCUACGGAGAUAUUGGGAAGGGCUUCCCUGACCCAGGUUGCUGGAGCAUGGGGGCCUGGGUAUCAGGGGUGGGGGUGGGAGAUUCCAGACAGGAGGACGAGGCCACAUCCAGGUGGCUUCAGAUACCACCGUGAGUCCCAUAGAGUGUCUAGUUACUAUAAAGUCUGCCAGCCACUGCAGUCACCCCAGGCCUGUGCCAAGUCCCGAGAUCUCUGCCCUGCAGCCAGUGCAGAGGGAAGAGGAGGGCAGGAGGGGACAGGUUAGUGGCCCCUUGCCGAUGCUCCUGACUCCUCAGGCUCCCUGCUGCCUCCUGCCCAGGGCUGUGGGGCCUCUGGGAGCGGGGAGCUCACCAUUGCUGUGGCACUGUUGAGCACCGGGGAGAGGCGGGUUCUGACAGCCACCCCUUCCCGUCUUGCUGUUCCCCUCCCAGCUGACAUCAUCUCUACCGUUGAGUUCAACCACACGGGAGAGCUGCUGGCCACAGGUGACAAGGGCGGCCGGGUCGUCAUCUUCCAGCGGGAACCAGAGAGUAAAAAUGCGCCCCACAGCCAGGGCGAAUACGACGUCUACAGCACUUUCCAGAGCCACGAGCCGGAGUUUGACUAUCUCAAGAGCCUGGAGAUAGAGGAGAAGAUCAACAAGAUCAAGUGGCUCCCACAGCAGAACGCCGCCCACUCGCUCCUGUCCACCAACGAUAAAACUAUCAAAUUAUGGAAGAUUACUGAACGAGAUAAAAGGCCCGAAGGAUACAACCUGAAGGAUGAAGAGGGGAAACUUAAGGACCUGUCCACGGUGACGUCACUGCAGGUGCCGGUGCUGAAGCCCAUGGAUCUGAUGGUGGAGGUGAGCCCUCGGAGGAUCUUUGCCAAUGGCCACACCUACCACAUCAACUCCAUCUCCGUCAACAGUGACUGCGAGACCUACAUGUCGGCAGAUGACCUGCGCAUCAACCUCUGGCACCUGGCCAUCACCGACAGGAGCUUCAACAUCGUGGACAUCAAGCCGGCCAACAUGGAGGACCUCACGGAGGUGAUCACAGCAUCUGAGUUCCAUCCACACCACUGCAACCUCUUCGUCUACAGCAGCAGCAAGGGCUCCCUGCGGCUCUGUGACAUGCGGGCAGCUGCCCUGUGUGACAAGCAUUCCAAGCUCUUUGAAGAGCCCGAGGACCCCAGUAACCGCUCCUUCUUCUCGGAAAUCAUCUCCUCCGUGUCCGACGUGAAGUUCAGCCACAGC